rnacentral:rRNA from 1 species
CGAGAGGGGGCAAGCGUUGUUCGGAAUUACUGGGCGUAAAGGGCGCGUAGGCGGCCUUCUAAGUCGAACGUGAAAUCCCCGGGCUCAACCCGGGAACUGCGUCCGAGACUGGAAGGCUCGAAUCCGGGAGAGGGAUGUGGAAUUCCAGGUGUAGCGGUGAAAUGCGUAGAUAUCUGGAGGAACGUCGGUGGCGAAGGCGGCAUCCUGGACCGGUAUUGACGCUGAGGCGCGAAAGCCAGGGGAGCAAACGGGAUUAGAUACCCCGGUAGUCCUGGCCCUAAACGAUGAAUGCUUGGUGUGGCGGGUAUCGAUCCCUGCCGUGCCGAAGCUAACGCAUUAAGCAUUCCGCCUGGGGGAGUACGGUCGCAAGGCUG